GACGAACGCUGGCGGCGUGCUUAACACAUGCAAGUCGAGCGGAAAGGCCCUUCGGGGUACUCGAGCGGCGAACGGGUGAGUAACACGUGAGUAAUCUGCCCCUAGCUCUGGGAUAGCUCCGGGAAACCGGGAUUAAUACCGGAUACGACCCCUUCGGACAUCUGAAGGGGUGGAAAGAUUUAUCGGCUAGGGAUGAGCUCGCGGCCUAUCAGCUUGUUGGUGGGGUAACGGCCCACCAAGGCGACGACGGGUAGCCGGCCUGAGAGGGCGACCGGCCACACUGGGACUGAGACACGGCCCAGACUCCUACGGGAGGCAGCAGUGGGGAAUAUUGCGCAAUGGGCGAAAGCCUGACGCAGCGACGCCGCGUGGGGGAUGAAGGCCUUCGGGUUGUAAACCCCUUUC
rnacentral:rRNA from 1 species